CCCAGCACUGAAGUGCUGGGCUAUUAUCGGCCGUCCCUACGGGACG
rnacentral:sRNA from 1 species